rfam:Frankia alni str. ACN14A chromosome, complete sequence.
GCGCCGUUAGCUCAAUUGGCAGAGCAGCGGACUCUUAAUCCGCGGGUUCGGGGUUCAAGUCCCUGACGGCGCA